ensembl:lncRNA
ACCGAUAGCAUAGUUAGCAUGUGCUAGCUAAAACAGUCCAGUAGCGAACGUCAAGUGCACAUUAUCAGUCCUUGAAAACUGAAAACAUACAGUCUGAAUCGGACCAAAGACGACUUUCACCCCGAGCAAUGAUGUCUAUUGAGACAGAGAGACUGUUGAAACUAAAAGAAGAUAAAGAGGACGUUCACACCAAAGUCAUAGAGAUGUUUUUGCAGAAGGAGAGGCGAAUGGACGUAACGAUUUACGUAAAGUAAAGACGCCCGGGCUUUCAGGAGCGGCAGGAAUCGCAUGACAGGCGAGGAUGCACGUAUACGAGGCGUCACCAAGGGAAAUCAAACCCCUGCUCAGUUCACUUGCUCUGAAAGUCGGUGAACAGGUACGCCUUCGCAAACAGGGAGGCAGAGAACUCCCACAGCAAUUCUCUGCGAAAAGCCUGGCGAGGCUGUGAAGGAGGAAGGAAGGGAGAGUGAGAGGGAGCAACAGGAAGGUGAGAACAGGAACAGAUGGAGAGGCGCGGGGGAUCUACAUGAACUGUCAUUUAAAACAGGUGCUAUACAUAGCCGAGCUUUCAGUCCACCAUCUCAUCUAAAUGAUGAUCAUUACAGCCAGAAGUCAUUAAAUGCCCCCAGACUUAUAGAUUUCCUCCCUCCCUCUUGGGAGCGGGAGAUGAAAAUGAAUUUAGGGCCCCUGGAGUCAUUGAAUUUUCUUUUUAUCACCCGAUAGCCGGGGUACAUAUGUGCCAUUGUGCUGUAUAUGGGAUUAGAGAGGAUCUUUUCUGCCUGACUGGCUACCGGCUCUCAGCAGCAAGACGAGGAUCAUUUCCCCUGCUGGGAAAAAAGCUCCACUCACCACCGCCAUUCGGUAUGAAUCUCCUCCUCACAGAACCCCGAUCUUCAUCAACAAGCGAGGCGUUUGAUAAAGAAUAUUUCCCCAAAGGCCUUUUCAAAAGUUAUGAAAACAUACAUUUAUUUGGCCUCCAAAUGACCUGUUUCCCUUGGAUCCACA